ensembl:lncRNA
CCAGGCUUGAGUGCAGGUAGGUCAUAAUUUGCACUGUGAUUGCAGUUUCUUCUAAGAGCUUUUCAGUGUUACUUCUUUCUGAUUUUGUGUUAAUUUAAUAUUCUAUCUUAUAUAAUGCUGUUUCUAAGCCUUGGUGAAAUGAGCAUUGGUGCAGAGGAAAAUCUGGAUGAACAAGCCAUCAGUGACUUGAGGAAUAGCACGUGAGUAUUUUGAUCAACGGAGUUGAUGUUGUAUCUGAAGAAUGUUAUCUCAGUGUAUAUUAUGUUAUUGACUGUUUUGUCUCAUCAGGAUUGACUGGGCAGUUAACCCUCCACCUGUAAAGGCAUCAGAUACUGAUGAGGAGGAGCAGGACAGCUCUGAUGAAGAGUACAUCCCUCCACUUUCUCUUCGGUAAGUUUCCUAAUGUUUCUUGUACUGCAACUUAAUACUAUCAUCAGGUCACAAAUGUAUAGCUGCACAAUUCUUGGCUCACCAUCUCAGCUACACUCUGGUAUUCUGUUCACCUUAUUCUGACACAUGCAUUUUUUUUUUUUUACCUUCCUUGUAUGUGUAUAAACUUCCGUUAUGACACUUGCCUUCAUACACAUCCAUUCUAUUUUCAUGAAAUGUGAAGGCAAAACUCCUCACACUAACCACUGAAACACAGGUUUUACUGAUGAAAACAGCCUGGUUGUUCUGGUGACCUACUCUACAAACCUGUUUGAUUAUGGAGGCACAACUUUAUAAAAAGACAACAUGUCAGUGUCAUGUCAGCCCCCAUGUUUGCAUGCAGAAUAAGGUGAAUAGGUGACAUUUGUCAUGUGUCAGCUAUGAUGUUGAUACAAGGACUCACAUGCCAGUUCUUCUCUCCACAACUUUGCGAAACAGAGUAGAUCUUUCAGAGACUGCCUUGCAAUGAAAAUGUUUGUUCACAUGUUUUUGGUAACAUUUCUAUGUUUGUACUGUUUGACUGAAACAGGUUGGGUGGAGCUUUACCAAAUGUUCCAAAUUUUGAUGCGCUGCCAGUAAUUGGUUUGGAAGAGACUGUACACGACCUCACUGCAGAUUUUGAGUCUGAACCAUCUACAGAUCCUGACAGCUCCACUGCCUCACCAGCUGAUUCAAAUGUGCCAACUGUACAGAAGGCAGAGGACAUUGUUGGUGCCAAGGCAUCGAUUGUGUAUGAUGACUGCUUGAAGUACCUUGCGGCCUUUGUUACACCACCAGUGAAACGGUGCACAGCAAUAAAUGUGACCGGUGCAACAUGCCAACACCAUCCACCAUUCCUGGUAAACAUCAAAGGGAAAGGCACUGCAAGCAUGUUAGAAUGGAGCUGAGCUGAUGGACACAUUGUGUGGC